AUACGAAAGGUGCAAGCGUUGUUCGGAUUUACUGGGCGUAAAGAGAGUGUAGGUGGUUUAUUAAGUUGGAUGUGAAAUCCCGGGGCUCAACCUCGGAACUGCAUUCGAUACUGAUAGGCUAGAGUUUGGGAGGGGUAAGCGGAAUUCCGUGUGUAGCAGUGAAAGGCGUAGAUAUACGGAGGAACACCUGAGGCGAAGGCGGCUUACUGGACCAAUACUGACACUGAGACUCGAAAGCGUGGGUAGCAAACAGGAUUAGAAACCCCGGUAGUCC
rnacentral:rRNA from 1 species